UAGGGAAUAUUGGACAAUGGGGGCAACCCUGAUCCAGCCAUGCCGCGUGAGUGAAGAAGGCCCUCGGGUUGUAAAGCUCUUUUGUCCGGAAAGAAAAGCUUCGGGUUAAUACCCCGGGGUUCUGACGGUACCGGAAGAAUAAGCACCGGCUAACUUCGUGCCAGCAGCCGCGGUAAUACGUAGGGGGCAAGCGUUGUCCGGAUUUACUGGGUGUAAAGGGCGCGCAGGCGGGAUAAAAAGUCAGUGGUGAAAUCCUACAGCUUAACUGUAGAACUGCCCUUGAUACUUUUAUUCUUGAGUUCGGGAGAGAGAGACGGAAUUCCAGGUGUAGUGGUGAAAUACGUAGAUAUCUGGAAGAACACCAGUUGCGAAGGCGGUCUCUUGGUCCGACACUGACGCUGAGGCGCGAAAGCGUGGGGAGCAAACA
rnacentral:rRNA from 1 species